GGGAGUGUAAACUUAGGAUUAGAUACCCUAUUAUAGAAAAAUUAAUUUAAAUAUGUUAAAAUAGUAAAUAAUUUUAUAUUGAAACUUAAAUAAUUUGGCGGUAUUUUAGUUCAUUUAGAGGAAUCUGUCUAGUAAUUGAUAAUCCACGAAUAAUUAUAUUUAAUUUAAAAUUUUAUAUAUCGUUGUUAAAAAAAUAUUUUUUAAAGAUAAUAAUAUUUAAAAAUUUAUAAUAAAAAUUAAUUCAGAUCAAGAUGUAGAUAAUAAUUAAAAUUAAGAUGGAUUACAAUAUAAAAAUAUAAAUGGAAUUUAAUUUUGGAAUAAUUGAAAGAAAGUGGAUUUAAAUGUAAUUUUAAAUAAUGCGUUCUGCGCGGUCCCGA
rnacentral:rRNA from 1 species